rnacentral:rRNA from 1 species
AUUGAACGCUGGCGGCAGGCCUAACACAUGCAAGUCGAGCGGAUGAGUGGAGCUUGCUCCAUGAUUCAGCGGCGGACGGGUGAGUAAUGCCUAGGAAUCUGCCUGGUAGUGGGGGACAACGUUUCGAAAGGAACGCUAAUACCGCAUACGUCCUACGGGAGAAAGCAGGGGACCUUCGGGCCUUGCGCUAUCAGAUGAGCCUAGGUCGGAUUAGCUAGUAGGUGAGGUAAUGGCUCACCUAGGCGACGAUCCGUAACUGGUCUGAGAGGAUGAUCAAUCACACUGGAACUGAGACACGGUCCAGACUCCUACGGGAGGCAGCAGUGGGGAAUGUUGGACAAUGGGCGAAAGCCUGAUCCAGCCAUGCCGCGUGUGUGAAGAAGGUCUUCGGAUUGUAAAGCACUUUAAGUUGGGAGGAAGGGCAGUAAGUUAAUACCUUGCUGUUUUGACGUUACCAACAGAAUAAGCACCGGCUAACUUCGUGCCAGCCGCCGCCGUAACAC